CUACGUGCCAGCAGCCGCGGUAAUACGUAGGGCGCGAGCGUUGUCCGGAAUUAUUGGGCGUAAAGAGCUUGUAGGCGGUUUGUCGCGUCUGCUGUGAAAGGCCGGGGCUUAACCCCGUGUAUUGCAGUGGGUACGGGCAGACUAGAGUGCAGUAGGGGAGACUGGAACUCCUGGUGUAGCGGUGGAAUGCGCAGAUAUCAGGAAGAACACCGAUGGCGAAGGCAGGUCUCUGGGCUGUAACUGACGCUGAGAAGCGAAAGCCAGGGGAGCGAACGGGAUUAGAUACCCUGGUAGUCCAUGCCGUAAACGUUGGGCACUAGGUGUGGGGGACAUUCCACGUUUUCCGCGCCGUAGCUAACGCAUUAAGUGCCCCGCCUGGGGAGUACGGCCGCAAGGCUAAAACUCAAAGAAAUUGACGGGGGCCCGCACAAGCGGCGGAGCAUGCGGAUUAAUUCGAUGCAACGCGAAGAACCUUACCAAGGCUUGACAU
rnacentral:rRNA from 1 species